rnacentral:misc_RNA from 1 species
GAUGAAGAACGUAGCGAAAUGCGAUAAGUAAUGCGAAUUGCAGAAUUCAGUGAAUCAUCGAAUCUUUGAACGCACAUUGCGCCCGCCAGCAUUCUGGCGGGCAUGCCUGUUCGAGCGUCAUUUCAACCCUCGAGCCCCCCCGGGGGCCUCGGUGUUGGGGGACGGCACACCAGCCGCCCCCGAAAUGCAGUGGCGACCCCGCCGCAGCCUCCCCUGCGUAGUAGCACACACCUCGCACCGGAGCGCGGAGGCGGUCACGCCGUAAAACGCCCAACUUUCUUAGAGUUGACCUCGGAUCAGGUAGGAAUACCCGCUGAACUUAAGCAUAUCAAUAAGCGGAGGA